rnacentral:rRNA from 1 species
GACGAACGCUGGCGGCGUGCUUAACACAUGCAAGUCGAACGAUGAAGCCUUCGGGUGGAUUAGUGGCGAACGGGUGAGUAACACGUGGGCAAUCUGCCCUGUACUUUGGGAUAAGCCUUGGAAACGGGGUCUAAUACCGGAUAUCACUUCUGACCGCAUGGUUGGUUGUUGAAAGUUCUGGCGGUACAGGAUGAGCCCGCGGCCUAUCAGCUUGUUGGUGGGGUAAUGGCCUACCAAGGCGACGACGGGUAGCCGGCCUGAGAGGGUGACCGGCCACACUGGGACUGAGACACGGCCCAGACUCCUACGGGAGGCAGCAGUGGGGAAUAUUGCACAAUGGCGAAAGCCUGAUGCAGCGACGCCGCGUGAGGAUGACGCCU